GCGGAAGGUUCAGUGUAGUUCCAAACACGAACGAAACUGGUCAGUGGACAUUUUUGUCAACAAAUGCUCACGAGGUAAAGGAAUAGACUUUAGUGAAGAAGAAGGCAUUUCAGGUCUCAUUGCGUUCCGUGGGUGACUGGUCACGUCUAAUCCACGACGACAAGUUUAACCUUUCUACACCAAUAUCAUAAUGUGGCAAAUUAUUCCUGAAUGCUCAUUGCUACAGGACUUCUGGGUGAAAUAAAUUCUUUGAAGUAUUCUGUUGGUGUCUAAAGCAGACAGCUGAUUUACGCAGCUCAAGGGAAUUUCUACAAAUCAGAAAUACUACAAACUUGAAGAAAUUACUGGAAGAAGAGGCAGCCAAAAUGACUGCUGCUGGAAAACGAACAAGAACAGAGUAUGACAUCGAAUAACACUCUUAUGAAGGAAAGAACCGACAAAACAGGAUCGCCCAGCAGAAAAAAACUUACACAGUAUAAAUGUCAGAAACCCGUACUUUCACAUAAAGAUAUCAUAAUCUUAGAGAUACUAUUAAAACUGUUAGUUCUGUAAGAUUUAUAGUCACGAGCAAGUGUGUUUUAUCAGUCAUAACGGUGCCUAUUGGCCCAAAGUCGAUUAGAACUCAGCUUUGCUGCUUGUAAUUUCUAAGUUGCAUCUUCAAAAGUCUUUUUCAUAAGAGGAAGUUCACUGUUGUCCAGGAGAGAUGUUUUAUUAUUGAAACCUGCUACUGGUUUGAUAUUUCAGGAUAUAUUUACCGCGUUAAUUUCUUCUAAGUUUAAUGUACGUAUCAAGUAGCUUAGCUUUAUUCAGGAUGUAUAGAUUUUAUUAUACCUAAAGGUCAUACCAUCUCAUUCUUAACUGAUGAGCAUUUACCUAGAAUUUUUCUAAGUUCACGUUCAACAUGUUUCAAGAUCCGUAGUUGCCUCGCUGAGGUUUAUUAUCACUCUAAUAUCUCCUGUUUGUUAAUUCAUUAUAUGUCAGUCUAUUUUGUAUUUGAAUUUUUCUAUCAGCUGUUAUGCAGAUCAUUGUUUUGACAUGUUUAUUGUUACACUGAAUUCCCUACCAGUUUAGCAAUAGUUAUGUGGUACCUCAGCAUACAACAAAAUUCAUGGUCCUUUCUACAUAAGAUUCAUUAGUUUUAUUUCAAUUUCUUACCACUUUAAAAUGACUAUUAGCCAUCAAUAAUAUAUUCUGUUGGUUUCAGGACACAUAGCUUGUUUUGCCUUAAAUAUUAUAUUAGUUUAUCAACCACAAGUAGCUUGGUGUAUUCGGAUGCAUAUACGUACUUGAUUUAAUUUUUUCUUCGUUAUAUAAUAGCUACCUGGCAUUUUUCAGGAUACAUUUUCAUUUGCAUAAGAUUCAUAAGUUCAAUAUUAUGGGUAAAAAAUCAGUUUGUUUCAAAAUACAUAGCAUAUAUUUUAUUUAAAUGUCUUAUAAGUUUGAUAAAGAUAUGUCUUGAAAUCUAAAGAAGCCUUCGCUUGAAAUUCUGAGCAGUGACAACAUCAGCUGCCAAUUACUGCAGCUUAGUACAUAACAAUAUUCAGGUAUAUAAUUUUCAUUUAAUAUCAGAUAAACUUAAGUUCCACCAUAGCGUAACAUCAACUAUUAGAUAGUCAGGGCUACAUUUUCAUUAUUUCAUAUCGAAAAUCACGUAUGUUCAAGGAUAACGUUUUGUUCAUUAACUUUCAGUUUUGAUUUGCGGUGUCCAGGAGGUCAUUGUUCAAUCCAUACUUGCCCGGAUACGAAGAUCACGUGAGAUGAAUAGUAGGUUACGCUUCUAUUUUCAGUUUAUUUAUUCACGAUCAGUAACAUGAAGUUCAGUUAGAAGGAAGAGGUUUCGCUGAUAUUACGGAACAUCUUCGUGACAGCAGAUAUAGUUAGGAAUUGUUGUGUGUAGAAGAACCUGUGAGGUAUUAAUUACCCUUUAUAAAUUGGGUAAUAUUUUAUGCCAAUGUUCGUAUUUUUCGUAUUUGUCUAUUAUCUUUAAUAAAUCUAAGAUAUUUUUAAACCAGCUUUUUAUAUGUUCCUCGUAACUUUAAUCCAUAGCUUGUCUCUUUGUUGAUUUAUAUCAAGAGUUCAUUUGGAAUUAAUUUUGUAAUAGUUAUGGGGUCUUGCGUUAUGAUGAUAUGUAAACGUUCGUGCUUGUACUUGAAAACGUUGGUCAUGAAA